rnacentral:rRNA from 1 species
UGAAUACGAGAUGCUACGGCGUCGAAGCAGUGUAUGUCAGACUUCCAAGAAAAGCUCGCAAUGUCAUAAAUAAAGAAUGCCUGUACCAUAACCGACACAGGUGGGUAGGUAGAGUAUACUAAGGGGCGCGAGAUAACUCUCUCUAAGGAACUCGGCAAAAUAACUCCGUAACUUCGGGAGAAGGAGUGCCUUCUUUAAGAAGGUUGCAAUAACAAGAUCCAAGCAACUGUUUAUCAAAAACACAGGUCUCCGCUAAGUCGUAAGACGAUGUAUGGGGGCUGACGCCUGCCCAGUGCCAGAAGGUUAAAGAAGUUGGUUAGCUUUUGCGAAGCUGAUGACUGAAGCCCUGGUGAACGGCGGCCGUAACAAUAACGGUCCUAAGGUAGCGAAAUUCCUUGUCGGGUAAGUUCCGACCCGCACGAAAGGCGUAAUGAUUUGGAUACUGUCUCGGAGAGGGACUCGUGAAAUAGACUUGCCUGUGAAGAUGCGGACUACCUGCACCAGGACAGAAAGACCCUAUGAAGCUUUACUGUAACUUGAAAUUGAAAUUGGACUUUAUUUGCGCAGUAUAGGUGGAAGGCGUUGAAAGUAAUCUUGCGGGAUUAGUGGAGCCAUCAGUGAGAUACCACUCCUAUAAUGUUAGAUUUCUAACUUUGGAUCAUGAUCUGGUCAAAGAACAGUUUCAGGCGGGCAGUUUGACUGGGGCGGUCGCCUCCCAAAUGGUAACGGAGGCGUACAAAGGUUUCCUCUGAACGGGUAGAAAUCGUAUCUAGAGUGUAAAGGCAUAAGGAAGCUUGACUGUGAGACCUACAAGUCGAGCAGGGACGAAAGUCGGUCUUAGUGAUCUGACGGUGCUGAGUGGAAAGGCCGUCACUCAACGGAUAAAAGUUACUCUAAGGAUAACAGGCUGAUCUCCCCCAAGAGUUCACAUCGACGGGGAGGUUUGGCACCUCGAUGUCGCUCAUCGCAUCCUGGGGCGGUAGUACGUCCCAAGGGUUGGGCUGUUCGCCCAUGAAAGCGGUACGCGAGCUGGGUUCAGAACGUCGUGAGACAGUUCGGUCCAUAUCCGGUGUAGGCGUUAGAAUAUUGAGAGGAGCCUUCUUUAGUACGAGAGGACCGAGAAGGACAUACCUCUGGUGUACCAGUUAUCGUGCCAACGGUAAACGCUGGGUAGCUAUGUAUGGAGAGGAUAACCGCUGAAAGCAUCUAAGUGGGAAGCCCACCUCAAGAUGAGUAUUCUC